rnacentral:rRNA from 1 species
AACGAACGCUGGCGGCAUGCCUAACACAUGCAAGUCGAACGAGAUCUUCGGGUCUAGUGGCGCACGGGUGCGUAACGCGUGGGAAUCUGCCCUUUGGUUCGGUAUAACAGUUGGAAACGACUGCUAAUACCGGAUAAUGACGAAAGUCCAAAGAUUUAUCGCCAGAGGAUGAGCCCGCGUAGGAUUAGCUAGUUGGUGUGGUAAAGGCGCACCAAGGCGACGAUCCUUAGCUGGACUGAGAGGAUGAUCAGCCACACUGGGACUGAGACACGGCCCAGACUCCUACGGGAGGCAGCAGUGGGGAAUAUUGGACAAUGGGCGAAAGCCUGAUCCAGCAAUGCCGCGUGAGUGAUGAAGGCCUUAGGGUUGUAAAGCUCUUUUACCCGGGAUGAUAAUGACAGUACCGGGAGAAUAAGCUCUGGCUAACUCCGUGCCAGCCGCCGCAGUAA